GGCCAGCAGCCGCGGUAAAACGUAGGAGCCAAGCGUUAUCCGAAUUUACUGGGCGUAAAGCGCGUGCAGGCGGCUCGAUAAGUUGGCUGUGAAAUCUCCUGGCUCAACUGGGAGAGGCCGGUCAAGACUGUCGGGCUGGAGGGCAGUAGAGGGAGGUGGAAUUCCCGGUGUAGUGGUGAAAUGCGUAGAGAUCGGGAGGAACACCAGUGGCGAAAGCGGCCUCCUGGACUGUACCUGACGCUCAGACGCGAAAGCUAGGGGAGCGAACGGGAUUAGAAACCCCGGUAGUCCUAGCCGUAAACGAUGUCGACUUGGCGUCGGUGGGGUAAAAGCCAUCGGUGCCGGAGCUAACGCGGUAAGUCGACCGCCUGGGGACUACGGCCGCAAGGUUAAAACUCAAAGGAAUUGACGGGGGCCCGCACA
rnacentral:rRNA from 1 species